GGGUAAGUUAAUAUCAUGACGGGCAAGUAAACAUUUGAUCUUACUUGGGCAAGUUGGCUUGCCACAAAAAGCUGGGCAUCUAAGUUUAUGUUUUCAUUGUCGGAUAAUUUUUUAUAGUGCAUGUACCGUACUCUGUAGUCUGUACUUGAUUCAAAUUUUGUUUUUUAUGAGCCAAAGCUAGAUCUGAGGCAGUAUAACAUAGCCAUAUAGAGCAGUGAGAGAACGCACCGACAGGUUGUUCCCUUAACUUAUACCUCCUACCUGCAAGUGAAUUUUAUUCAGGGCAACUAAUUUUCAUGUCCAACUUGCCCUGAGGGCAAGUGAUAUGUUGAUAAUUAUGGUUGACCCCUAAAUAAGCCAUUUAAAAAUAGGCUGAUUGAGCUCUUUAAUAUUUAGCUUUGCUGACCAACACGUUUGCUACAAUAUCUUGGUGGUAGCAGCUUGCCAUCACCAGAGUGGAAAAUUGGUACCAUAUAGUCUCACCCCAUAUAUAGCUACAACAUCCUCAUAACCUGGAAGGCGUUUUCAAUGGCAUUGUCAUCAAAAGUAGCAGAAAAAAAAGCACUCACUGGAAAACAUCUUUAUGAAUGUGAAGUUUGCGGGAAAAGUUUUAAAUUUCCUAGCCAUUUAGCGAGACAUGAAAUCAUUCAUUCUGAUGAAAAACCUUAUGAAUGUGAUGUUUGUAAGAAGAGAUUUCAACAAUUGACACAUAUAACCAGACAUAAAAGAACACAUACCGGAUACAAACCUUUUGAAUGUGAUGUUUGUCAGAAACGAUUUACAGAAUCAGGUAGUUUAAAAAAACAUAAAAAAUUGCACACUGGAGACAAUCCUUACGAAUGUGAUGUUUGUAAGAAGAGAUUCGCAUUGGCAAACAGAUUAACAAUGCAUAAAAGAACACACACGGGAGACAAACCGUAUGAAUGUGAUGUUUGUAAGAAGAGCUUUGCAUUUUCAAGGAGUUUACGAAUACAUAAAAACACACACACUGGAGAAAAACCUUAUCAAUGUGACGAUUGCAAUAAACGUUUUACAGACUCGAGCAGUUUGAAAAAACAUAAAAGAACACAUACUGGCGAAAAACCUUAUGAAUGUGAGGUUUGCAAGAAAAGCUUUAUAUUUUCAAGGAGCUUACGAAUACAUAAAAACACACACACUGGAGAAAAACCUUAUCAAUGUGACGAUUGCAAUAAACGUUUUACAGACUCGAGCAGUUUGAAAAAACAUAAAAGAACACAUACUGGCGAAAAACCUUAUGAAUGUGAGGUUUGCAAGAAAAGCUUUAUAUUUUCAAGGAGCUUACGAAUACAUAAAAACACACACACUGGAGAAAAACCUUAUCAAUGUGACGAUUGCAAUAAACGUUUUACAGACUCGAGCAGUUUGAAAAAACAUAAAAGAACACAUACUGGCGAAAAACCUUAUGAAUGUGAGGUUUGCAAGAAAAGCUUUAUAUUUUCAAGGAGCUUACGAAUACAUAAAAACACACACACUGGAGAAAAACCUUAUCAAUGUGACGAUUGCAAUAAACGUUUUACAGACUCGAGCAGUUUGAAAAAACAUAAAAGAACACAUACUGGCGAAAAACCUUAUGAAUGUGAGGUUUGCAAGAAAAGCUUUAUAUUUUCAAGGAGCUUACGAAUACAUAAAAACACACACACUGGAGAAAAACCUUAUCAAUGUGACGAUUGCAAUAAACGUUUUACAGACUCGAGCAGUUUGAAA